AUUGAACGCUAGCGGGAUGCUUUAAACAUGCAAGUCGAACGAGGGGCGGACGGGUGAGUAAUAUAUCGGAAAGUGCCCAGUAGCGGGGGAUAACUACGAGACAGAGAGGCUAAUAACGCAUACGAGGGGAGCGGGGGAUAUCGGAUUAGCUAGUUGUGGGGGUAAAGGCUCACCAAGGCAACGAUCCGUAGCGGGUUUGAGAGGACGACCAGCCACACUGGGACUGAGACACGGCCCAGACUCCUACGGGAGGCAGCAGUGGGGAAUUUUGGACAAUGGGGGAAACCCUGAUCCAGCCAUCCCGCGUGUAUGAGAAGGCCUUCGGGUUGUAAAGUACUUUUGGCAGAGAAGCGGUAUCUGCAGAAUAAGCACCGGCUAACUACGUGCCAGCAGCCGCGGUAAUUC
rnacentral:rRNA from 1 species